CCGGUGAGGUGGAUCGUCGUCUAUAAAUACCCUGUAGAACCGAAUGUGUGUGCAGCUGACUUGAUCACAGAUUGGGUUCUAGGGGAGUCUAUGGGCGAUGAAUAAUCACUGA
rnacentral:pre_miRNA from 1 species